UGUUGUCUGAUUGAGUUAGUCCUUAUAAUAUAAAUUCAGAUUUGACUCUUAAGUGCUUAUUUUGUUAGAGAAGCUCCCCAUCUGAAUGCGUUUUGUGGUUCCAAAUGCAUGCAGAACUGGUACUGUUAGCUGAGAAAGAAGCUUGGUCAUAUGCAAAGCAAAGGGGAAAAUAUAUGGUAACUGUGCUCCCAAUACUUGUUAUAGGGUCAAUGUUGUAGAAGACAACAAAUGCAAGUAAUUUGGUUCUCAUUAAGCUGCUGAAAGGAAAGAUAUGAAGAAAUAUUAUGAGAAAAAAUAUUUUCAGAAUUUGAUAUUGAUCAAAUUGAAGAUAUUACCAAGCUGUGGGGGGAGGAAAAAGCGAAGACUAUUUGGUUUUGGAUAUGAAGCAAAAGGCUACUACUUUGGACGAUCUUGAUUCCUUAGUUGAUGAUUGCAAUCUUGAUCAGUUGUGAUACUUUUGACGAUCAGUGCAUUGAUUUUUGAUGGUCUAUUUUAUUGAAAAUGUUUAAAAUUGUGCAACAACAAUAUACACUUGAUGGAUGUGGGUUAUUUUAAGAAUAGUUUGUAGAUGUUUGGACAUAAUUGUGUUUA